rnacentral:rRNA from 1 species
UACGUAGGGUGCGAGCGUUGUCCGGAAUUACUGGGCGUACAGAGCUCGUAGGUGGUUUGUCGCGUUGUUCGUGAAAACUCACAGCUUAACUGUGGGCGUGCGGGCGAUACGGGCAGACUGGAGUACUGCAGGGGAGACUGGAAUUCCUGGUGUAGCGGUGGAAUGCGCAGAUAUCAGGAGGAACACCGGUGGCGAAGGCGGGUCUCUGGGCAGUAACUGACGCUGAGGAGCGAAAGCGUGGGGAGCGAACAGG